CGUCGUUUGGCUCUGUUGGUAGAGUACUUGACUAGUAAUCAGGAGGUCCUGGGUUCGAUUCCUAGAACGAUAG
rnacentral:tRNA from 1 species